GGAUGAGAGGGCGAUCUGGUUGCGACAUCUGUCACCCCAUUGAUCACCAGGGUUGAUUUGGCUGAUCUGGCUGGCUAGGCGGGUGUCCCCUUCCUCCCUCACUGCUCCAUGUGCAUCCCUCCCGAAGCUGCGUGCUUGGUCGAAGAGGACAACCAUCCCCGACAGAGGAGGACCGGUCUUCAGUCAAGGGUAUACGAGUAGCUGCGCUCCCCUGCUAGAACCUCCAAACAAGCUCUCAAGAAUGCAUGCAACAAAGUUUAUUGCCUUAUUUUAACAGAUUG
rnacentral:sRNA from 1 species